UGGGGCUUUUCUUAGGGCUGAUGGGGAUUAAUGGCUGGCCUGCUUGGUAGGGUGGCUUAGCUGCUGGGGUGGGUGGCAUGUUGGACUUUUCUCUGUGGGAGCCCCAAACACAUAGUAGCUGCAGCAACAGUUCAUACAAAGUUUCAAUAGUUUAAAUUAGUUUAGAUUAGUUGUUAGUUUAGUUGAGUAGUAGUUGAGCGUUAAGUUUUAAAAAUAGUAUAUAGUAAAGAUCUGAGUAUAUUUAUACAAAAUGCAGUCACUUGAGUUGUUUAAAAUUAGAUUAAGUUUGUGAAAAAAAUUCCCAGAACUUGAUUGAUUUGUCAUCAGCCCAUUUCAUACCACGUCCAGCUGCAUCUCUUUUUAAUCGCCCAUCUGCCAAUUGAACUUAAUAGCUAUGGGUUUCUUGUAUUUGUUUUUAUUCUCUUGAAUGGCACCUUACAUAGAAUUUUACAGACCGUAGCUAUGCUCGUGUUCAUAGUGCGAAUGCUCAACAACCUUGGAGUUCUCUUUCUUUGAUUCCAACAGCUUUUUCAAUCCAAUGAUGCUCGAGAGCAGCAGAGCAAUCUUGCCAAUGACCAAAGCCUUGAAUGAGAUCAGUGCCAGGGGCAGCAGAGCCGCCAUUUUCAGUUUAAAAAGCAUAAACAGUGGCAUCAAAUAAUUCUUCUUCUCCUUCUUGCCGCGAGCUAGAUAGAUAGGUAGAUAAAUUGAUUGAUCAAUAGCAGGCUUAAAUGGGAAUGAAAUGAGGUGGGAUACAUGCAUUUGCAUGUAUGACUUUCGCUUGAUUACAGCUUGAUUCAUCGUCGGAGAGUUUGCUGUCCACUGUCCGCUCAUUAGCAAUUGGAGCACAAAUAAUUAAUAAGCGAACAGGAUCGACAGCUUUCUAUGGUCAGCGUUUAGAAAUCGGAAACUGUGGCUAAAGAGCGCAAAAAGAAAUAAAAGGCAAUUAAUAACAGCAGCCAACAACAGUCAACAGCAACAAGUUUGCCACUUGGACAUGGAGGCUGUCAGUGCACCGCUAGGAGAUGCCUGGGAAUCUAAAUUAAAAACCGACUCUGCCUGACCUCGAUGAAUGUGACGCGAGAAUUUAAUAGUGAAAACAGGAUUGAAAACUUGUACUGGUAAAUACAUUACUAACCCAAAUUGGCAAUAUGCUAGCAAACCAGAUCGGCAGCUGGCUAUAAUUUAUGUGGGACCACAAAAUGCUGUGUGCUACUCUACGUUUCUAUGUCAUGUUGCAUAUCCUGGAUGGAAUCCUUGGGGACCUUGAAUUGCAAUGUGUGUGUGGAAGGAGACGUUAAGAGGAGGUACAUCGGCUGCAACCAACCUGGCCAAGAGCAAAAGACCGAAACAUCCCGAUAGAGGCCGGUCGACGGUGGGUAUGAGUCGCAGUUGCCGUUGUGUUUGGCAGAGCCGUUAACUUGUUGUUCGUCAACACACCAACGGUUAAGAACUAUGUGCCACACACACACACACUGACACACAGAUUGACACACACAUGCUAAAAAGUGUUAAGGGGAGAAGCUUAAAAACAUAUAUGAUGGCACUUAUAGGCAAAUGGUUUUUUUUUUCUUUUUCUGCUAACAUCAUGGUAUCAGGGGAAGAUGGGUGGCAACAGCGAAGAGAGAUGGGUGGUGGCUAAUAUGGAGAGGGGAAUUAUCAAUUAAACCAGCACCAACCAUACCAUUCACACGAGCAGCACCACUUAUGUAUUUGGCUGUGUGUGUGUAUAUUGGUCGAAAGCAACCACAAGUGCGCGGCCAUCGUAUCUCAAAUUGGAGUAAAAUAGAAAAUUAACUAGUUUGUUGGCGAUAUUUAAUAUAAAAUAAAA